UACGUAGGGGGCUAGCGUUGUCCGGAAUCAUUGGGCGUAAAGCGCGUGUAGGCGGCCCGGUAAGUCCGCUCUGAAAGUCGGGGGGCUCAACCCUCGGAUGCGGGUGGAUACUGUCGGGCUUGAGUGCGGAAGAGGCGAGUGGAAUUCCGUGGUGUAGCGGUGAAAUGCGCAGAUAUCAGGAGGAACACCAAUUGCGAAGGCAGCUCGCUGGGACGUUACUGACGCUGAGACGCGAAAGCGUGGGGGAGCAAACAGG
rnacentral:rRNA from 1 species